rnacentral:rRNA from 1 species
GUGUCAGCAGCCGCGGUAAUACGUAGGCAGCAAGCGUUGUUCGGAGUUACUGGGCGUAAAGAGUGCGUAGGCGGUUUUUUAAGUUUGGUGUGAAAUCUCCCGGCUUAACUGGGAGGGUGCGCCGAAAACUGGAAGGCUCGAGGAUGGGAGAGGCAUGCGGAAUUCCUGGUGUAGCGGUGAAAUGCGUAGAUAUCAGGAGGAACACCUGCGGUGUAGACAGCAUGCUGGACCAUUUCUGACGCUGAGGCACGAAAGCGUGGGUAGCAAACAGGAUUAGAUACCCUGGUAGUCC